GGCAGACAUACGGAUUUUUUCUUCUGCUGCUGGCUCUGAACUGUCUACCCCAGACAAGUUACAUUCAACCCUCUGGCCUUUAUGCUGCCAGCAUCUUUUGUUUCCCAGAAUGGGUUGCCUUCUGCAGAAUGAACCAUUUCCCAACAUUACUCCACAAGUAUUGGGAAAAUGUUCCUUGACAGGAUUAUUUGAAGAUCCACAUUGCCAGGUACUAUCUGCAUUAUGUUUAGAUGAGGCAUUGUUGUUUACGCUGUCAGCAAAAGAAUUGAAUACCGAACUGGGGGCAGACAUACGGAUUUUUUCUUCUGCUGCUGGCUCUGAACUGUCUACCCCAGACAAGUUACAUUCAACCCUCUGGCCUUUAUGCUGCCAGCAUCUUUUGUUUCCCAGAAUGGGUUGCCUUCUGCAGAAUGAACCAUUUCCCAACAUUACUCCACAAGUAUUGGGAAAAUGUUCCUUGACAGGAUUAUUUGAAGAUCCACAUUGCCAGGUACUAUCUGCAUUAUGUUUAGAUGAGGCAUUGUUGUUUACGCCGUCAGCAAAAGAAUUGAAUACCGAACUGGGGGCAGACAUACGGAUUUUGUCUUCUGCUGCUGGCUCUAAGACGGAGGUGUUAACCCGCAUCCCCUUGUGCUCUUCACAUCUUUUCCUCCCUGCCAC
rnacentral:lncRNA from 1 species